rfam:Schistosoma curassoni strain Dakar, Senegal genome assembly, scaffold: SCTD_scaffold0000571
GCACUGCUGAAGAGUCCCACAAUAGGGUGAAACAGCCGUCCAGUGC